rnacentral:rRNA from 1 species
UACGGGGGGGGGCAAGCGUUGUUCGGAAUUACUGGGCGUAAAGGGCUCGUAGGCGGCCAACUAAGUCAGACGUGAAAUCCCUCGGCUUAACCGGGGAACUGCGUCUGAUACUGGAUGGCUUGAAUCCGGGAGAGGGAUGCGGAAUUCCAGGUGUAGCGGUGAAAUGCGUAGAUAUUGGGAGGAACACCAGUGGCGAAGGCGGCUCACUGGACCGGUUCUGACGCUGAGGCGCGAAAGCGUGGGGAGCAAACGGG